GAUAGUUACUCCGUUGAUAACCUUGGAAGAAUGAAAAGCUAGAUUGGCCUACCAGCAACAGAACCUGCAACCCUGGGAUUUAGCAGGUCCUAUAGUUCAUUGAUUUACUGACAUACAGACAUGAGAAAAAAGACACCCUAUUUUAAUUCGUUCAUUUUACAUAUCAGGACAUAACAAUAAUCUGUUCCUUAGCAGGUCUUAAAUUAGGUAAAUACAGCCUCAG